UACGGGGGGAGCAAGCGUUGUUCGGAUUUACUGGGCGUAAAGGGCGCGUAGGCGGCCACCGCAAGUCGACUGUGAAAUCUCCGGGCUUAACCCGGAAAGGUCAGCCGAUACUGCGGGGCUAGAGUGCAGAAGGGGCAACUGGAAUUCUCGGUGUAGCGGUGAAAUGCGUAGAUAUCGAGAGGAACACCUGCGGCGAAGGCGGGUUGCUGGGCUGACACUGACGCUGAUGCGCGAAAGCUAGGGGAGCAAACAGG
rnacentral:rRNA from 1 species